UUAUGGCAGAAUUAGCCCAUGGCAGAAUUACAAGACUACAGAGGCUGGCUAUGGAUGACAGUCGUGCGUCUGGCCUGCUGCACAGCACAUCCACACAGGAGCUAAGGGAUCAUCCUUGCACAGCCCAUCCUGGAAGAAGAGAGUUCGCUGAUGAAUCCGACACCGUUUUAUGGCAUGGCAGCAGAAUAAAGGCUAGAAUUGGUCCUAUUCCAAGCCCUUUACAUUUUGCUGUGUGUAAUGGAGACAGGAACUACGAGUUUCCUAUUCAUGCACAAUUUGCUGUCUGAGAGCACACAGUCCUCAAGGUCACAGGGGCUUGCAGAUCUGUGUCUGAGAUGACUUUAAAAACAAAACCAACCUUUAUGUGCAACACCUGUGCUUCAGAACUUUACAAUACAAAUCACAAGCUGAUUCCGACUGUUAAGUGGGAAAAAACUAAACCAAAGAACAAAACCAAAACUCUGACCCCACAAAACAAACAAAGAAAAGAACCACUAAGAAAAUAAACCAGAACCAACACCAAAAGCCCCACAAAUCCAGAAAAAGAUAAAAAUCAGGUGAAGGAGGCAGAGAUCCAAGAGCAACAAAUGGGCAGAGGAACUACAAAAAGACAGGAGCUCCUUGGAUGUUAAUGCAAGCAAGAAGUCCUUUGUAAAGGGCUGUCUUUGCAAAAUACCUGCCACUUCUGUGAUGCAAGACCGAAACAGCUUCCCUUGGGCUGCAGCUGGAAGGCUUGAAAAUGUGUUCCAGAAACUCGUGAUAUGACAAAGUCUGAUGAACACAAUUUAAUGUCAUGAACUGCAAGAUGUAAGUUACCUGAUAAAAUAAUCCGAGUAUUUCCAUGGCAAGCAGCAGGAAAGGGCUGUGCAUUGGAAUGACAGGAAACAGCCCCAGAGUGCAUGAUGGACAAGUUUCCCAGCCAGAGCAGACCAGAAGCACUGGGAGCACAAAGAGACACACCCAGGAGGCCCAGCAGCUCCUUGCUGAGGGCCCAUUUCAUGCAAGGACUGGCAGUCAGAAUAUUAAAUCAAUUAAAAAUAAAAGGGUGGGGGCAGGCAGCAGUGAGGUGGCCUCAAAGGUUCAGCUCUGCACUCUGCUUUUGUCACCAAUAUUCUCCUAGUUCCUGUGUUGGUUUUCCUAGAGCAUUUGUAGCCAACAGAGCUUCCAGUCCCUUUGAUCAAAUCAGUCUUAAGAGCAGUAUGAGUCUGUGUCAGUCAUUUGGAUGUGAGCACUGACAGGGCUCCAGGCAACAAAAGAACAUUAAGUGCAGGCCACCCCUACAGCUUUUCAUAUUAAUGAGCACAAAGCCUUUAUUUUUGCAAACAGAGGGAGGUAUGUUGGGGGCAUUUUUGCACCAUCAGGUCGAGGUACAAGGCUGCGGAUCUACACCGCACUGUGGUAAGGAGAGGAACACAGGUGGGGACAAUCCAGGCUGUUAGCAGUGCCCCCACCCCUUCAUUAGGGACAUCACAAUUGCUUUUUGAGCUCCUAAAGCAGCUGGUGAACAGCUCUUCUUCUUUUCUCGCCCCCUGCACACUGACAGGCAAGUUGAACAGAAAAUCUGCCCCUCCCUCUAUAAUCUCUGAGCACCAAAGCAA